rnacentral:lncRNA from 1 species
AAUAUUGCAAAAUUGACUGUACAUGAGCAAAAUAGUAAAGUUUUAAGAUAUCUAGGGAGACAAAAUUCCUAAGUUGCCAUAGAACAUAACAGUGCACAGACAAUCUUCCCACUACAUAAUCAACGUGAGAGCUCCAAGACAAAUUAGAAUCCAGUAGAAGACAGUUUGCUUUUUGUAC